rnacentral:rRNA from 1 species
UGGGGAAUAUUGGACAAUGGGCGCAAGCCUGAUCCAGCCAUGCCGCGUGAGUGACGAAGGCCUUAGGGUUGUAAAGCUCUUUUGGCGGGGAAGAUAAUGACGGUACCCGCAGAAUAAGCUCCGGCUAACUUCGUGCCAGCAGCCGCGGUAAUACGAAGGGAGCUAGCGUUGUUCGGAAUCACUGGGCGUAAAGCGCACGUAGGUGGGCAGUUAAGUCAGGGGUGAAAGCCCGAGGCUCAACCUCGGAAUUGCCUCUGAUACUGGCUGUCUAGAGUCCGAGAGAGGUGGGUGGAAUUCCUAGUGUAGAGGUGAAAUUCGUAGAUAUUAGGAAGAACACCGGUGGCGAAGGCGGCCCACUGGCUCGGUAUUGACGCUGAGGCGCGAAAGCCAGGGGAGCAAACGGGGAUUAGAUACCCAAGUAGUCCCUGA